GCAUUCUGGAAAAAGAUGCAGACUGGUACAGGCUGAAAGCGCAGCGGAGAUGACACUGUUUCAAGAUUCCUGCACCAGCCCCUUUGUGGUUAUAGAAGUUGGAUUAAAUAAAAGGGCAUGCCGUGAACUGGAAAAUGUUUUUGAAAUCAAGGAAAAGCAGCAAAAAGGAAGGCGUUACCAUGGAACUGAGAGAGGAGAUAAAAAUCUUUGUUCCUGAUGGUCUUGUUCCCACCUGCCUGGGUGCUGCAGCUCUGUGCUGCCUGAGAAAGCCAGUGACCAAGAGGAGCAGAAGACUACCAGUCGACCUUCCAACCACGAUGGCCGUUGAAGAGAUGCCAUCAAGCCAGGGUCUCUGCUUCUCCCUGCUGCAGCCUGUAUCCGAGACUGGCUUCCUGACCUGCACCUCAGUGAAAGGAAGGAAAGAGAAGGGGAAAGAGAAACAGAAGGUACAGCAACUUUUUAAUAACUUUUUUCCUUAUUCCUUUUGCUCACAGUAAUUCUCACACUCUGCACCUGCCCCGAAGGUUUG
rnacentral:lncRNA from 1 species